ACCUUUUGAACAUCAUAUUGCCGCCGGUAGAAAGCUAAAGCACCACCUCUGCCUCUCUCUGCGGACAAAUAAAAAGAGAGAGAAAAAAAAGUUGAGAUUUUGUAUGUAUAAACGGAAAUGGGAGUUUGCACUUCUAGACCCAAACCCUCUCAAGAGAGCUCAAUAGCCAUUCAUCAGGUGAAAUUGGCGAUAAUUAUGCCCCAAAUCAUAAUAACGAUUAGCACCAAGCUCCGGCGAAGAACAAGCUCGAGAAUGGGAGAACUUCUGGAAGCUUCGAGAAGAACAAGAGCGAGGAAAAAGUCAAAGCAGGAAAAAGGUCUCCGUUUUUCCCCUUCUACAGCCCGAGCCUGGCUCAUUACCUCUUCUCCAAGAAGUCUCCAGCGAGAUCUCCGGCGCCAGGGAGCGGCACGCCGAGGAGGUUUUUCAAGAGGCCGUUUCCGCCGCCGUCUCCGGCAAAGCACAUCAAAGCCGUGUUGGUGCGGCGGCACGGCUCCGUGAAGCCGAAUGAGGCGGCGAUACCGGAGGGGAAGGAGGUGGAAGGGGGGGCGGGUUUGGAUAAAAGCUUCGACUUUUCGAAGAAUUUCUACAGCAAAUAUGAGUUUGUGAAGUUCAAUUGGGAAAGACUUUGUAAGGAAGAUGCAUAGGGAGUUGCAGGGGAAGAUGAAAUGAAUGUUGAAUUCUGAGUGAGAGGAAGAAGAGAUGCCAGGUCGUCUCUGCUCUACCAUCAUAAGCAGCAGCUCUUUCGACAAUAUAAGGUAAGAAUGUUACAUGAUUUUCAUCUUAUUUGAUCACUGCAUCUUUGUUUCUCCAAAAUCUUGUUUUCUGGUAUAUGUAAAUGACUGUGAUUGCUAUU